rnacentral:rRNA from 1 species
UACGUAGGGUGCGAGCGUUAAUCGGAAUUACUGGGCGUAAAGCGUGCGCAGGCGGCUUUGUAAGCCAGAUGUGAAAUCCCCGGGCUCAACCUGGGAAUGGCAUUUGGGACUGCAAGGCUGGAGUUUGGCAGAGGAGACUGGAAUUCCUGGUGUAGCCGUGAAAUGCGUAGAUAUCAGGAGGAAUACCGAUGGCGAAGGCAGGUCUCUGGGCUAUAACUGACGCUCAUGCACGAAAGCGUGGGGAGCAAACAGG